CUACAACCAUACACAUUUUCUUCAUUACAACAAAAUAAUGUAAUGACCAACGACAGCACAAGAACAAAGAGAGAAAAAAAUCAGAAAACAAGAUCACUAGGAGAGAAAAAACUUCAGGAAACAACAGUGGCGGAGCGAACCAGCGACCUCUAAUGCGGCGGCGACCAACGUUGAUGGCCGGCAGUGUGGUUGGUGAUGUUCGGUGGUCAUGAGUCCUCUUCCGGCGAAUGAAAUUAAAGAAACAAUAUUGAUGUUGAGGAUGAAGUCUGAAUAUGGGUGUUGGUUGGAGUAUGUGAAGCAUUGGGAAAAAAGAAAAAUUGAAGAUAAAGAAAAGUGAUUCACGGAACUUGGAAGUGUUGGCUGUAAACAAUUAAAAUAUAUAUUAUUUAUGUUUUUUUUUUGAAAGAAUAUAUUAUUUAUGUGUAGUGGCUGUAAACAAUUAAAAAGCAUCAUCCUGCUAAUUAAAUUUA